GUUGCACGCGUAAAAAUUGAGAAAAUGAACAACUUGUUCCAGGUUGAUAUCAACAGGUGUGAACAAGGUUGUGCGGCCCACCAUGAACAGUAUUGUCAACAUGUUGUUGCAGCAUUGUUCAACUGUAACAAAGUUCUUGGAACAACAUGGUUGACAACUUGUUCAUAGUUGCCACAACUUGCCGCACAACAUUGUUCCUGCCUGUCGAUAUCAACUUGGAACAACCUGUGCGUUUUUAGCCGUGUAGGC